rnacentral:rRNA from 1 species
UGGGGAAUAUUGGACAAUGGGGGAAACCCUGAUCCAGCGACGCCGCGUGUGUGAAGAAGGCCUGCGGGUUGUAAAGCACUUUCGGUGGGAACGAAAUAUGCCGGGCUAAUACCCCGGUAGGCUGACGUUACUCAAUGAAGAAGCACCGGCUAACUCUGUGCCAGCAGCCGCGGUAAUACAGAGGGUGCGAGCGUUAAUCGGAAUUACUGGGCGUAAAGCGCACGUAGGUGGCGACGUAAGUCGGGUGUGAAAGCCCCGGGCUCAACCUGGGAACCGCAUUCGAGACUGCGUUGCUGGAGUACGGAAGAGGAGGGCGGAAUUCCCGGUGUAGCGGUGAAAUGCGUAGAUAUCGGGAGGAA